ensembl:lncRNA
GAAUGGAAUCCGGCCAUGAUGUCAGACAAUUCAUUCAUCCCAAAUGGAACAUUAUUCCCUACGUUGCACUCCUGUUUAGCAGAGGCCCUAUGGCAAAAGCAACGCAAUAAAAUAGGGCAUAGGCUGCCAUUCGGGACACACACAGACAACAUUCUCUGUAACCUGCAAGCAGUCAUUUCCAUCUACUGUUCUGUACUGCUUAAUGCUGUCAGACAACUCUACAGUACCUUGACAAGAGGUCUCAAUCUUUAUGGAAUAGAACGUAGUUCACAUGAUCUGGAACUGCAGAGUUACUGGUUCAAGUUCUCUUCCACUUCUUGUAUGAUGGAAGGAUGGUUGGUUGGGUGGAUGGAUAUAGGAAGGAUGGUUGGGUG